GGUCAAGCUAGAAAGGGCGUACGGUGGAUGCCUGGGCGCCAGGAGGCCGAAGAAGGACGUGGCAAGCUGCGAAAAGCUACGGUGAGCCGCAAGCAGGCAUAGACCCGUAGAUUUCCGAAUGGGGCAACCCGUUACCUGUAACGAGGUAACAUCUUAUGCUGAACCCAUAGGCAUAAGAGGGGCACCCGGGGAACUGAAACAUCUAAGUACCCGGAGGAAAAGAAAUCAACCGAGAACCCCCAAGUAGCGGCGAGCGAACAGGGGCGAGCCUAAACCGGCCUUGCAAACAAGGCCGGGGUUGCGGGACUCUCAAAGCGGGACUGGCGAGCUUAGCCGAAGCGGACUGGAACGUCCGGCCGCAGAAGGUAACAGCCCUGUAGGCGAAAAGCUCAAACAGCCCGGAGAGCAUCCCAAGUACCGCGGGGCACGUGGAAUCCCGCGGGAAUCAGGGAGGACCACCUUCCAAGGCUAAAUACCCCUGGCGACCGAUAGCGCACAAGUACCGUGAGGGAAAGGUGAAAAGCACCCCGGGAGGGGAGUGAAACAGAACCUGAAACCGUACGCUUACAACCAGUCAGAGCCCUAUACUCGAGGUUCGAGGUUCGAAGUUCGAAGUUCGAACUUGGGUCAAGCCUAACGGGUCCAAAAGACCCCAAAGGAGAACCCCAAAAAUCGAAUCACGAAUUUCGAAUCUCGAACUUCGAGCAGGGUGAUGGCGUACUUUUUGUAGAACGGACCGGCGAGUUACAUCCGGCGUGCGAGGAUAAGGCUGACGAGGCCGCAUCCGUAGCGAAAGCAAGUCUUAAAAGGGCGAGAUAGUACGC
rnacentral:rRNA from 1 species